ACUGCCGGUCGCGGUCUGUCGUCGCCGGUCGGUCAGUCGUCGGUCGCUUCGUCGUACGGAGCGUGCUGACUCCCGACCGCGGACCACUCACUAGCGCAGCGCCGUACUCCGGGGAGGUCACACGUGCCCCAGCAUGACCCCCGUCGAGGCUCAGGGCUUUUGCGCGCUGCUGUUGAUCAUCAUCUAUUAUUACGUUUCGCUGUGGUCGUUUUUUUCCCGUUACGACGGCACGGUGAUCGACCGCCGAGGCUUUUACAUAUUCUUUUGGUUGUUCUAGUACGACCGCCACGCCGACCUCGACGCAGCCAGUGCAACGACCACCGCCGUCGGUCGUGUCCAGUGUCCGCACGUUAAUAUAAUAUAUAAUACAUAAUAUGUUUUACUCUAUUGCUAAAUCGAUUUAAAUGAGGGCGCAUACCGUCAUGCACCGCCUUUGAACGUAGUUUGCGUGACAAGAACUAUCGCAAGUAGAUUUGAUCGCAAUCAAAUUUCCGCGAGCGUUUUUUCAAGAAAAAUUUGAGCUUACUGCUUAGCAGUUUUUUAUACACGUGUAUUGUUAUAUAAUGAUAAGCGUGAAAUGAGAUGUCUACGGAGAGCACUGAGAGCAGUUUCUCGAGACUAUAAGACUGUUAGGAAUUUUCAAAAACACCAGACAAACCUUAAAAAAGUAACAGUAAAACGGGAAUUUUUACGCAUUAUCAGUUUUCAACAAAAUCGACUUUUUUAUUUCGCUGUAACUCAAAAAUGAAUCAUUAUAAUCACUUUAAUAAAGUAAUAUAAUAGCAAGUCAAUUAAAUUAUAUUCCUAUACUGACACAAAUAAAAAUGCAGUAACCUCGGAAUCUACCGAUGAACACAAGAUUCAAAUUCCAAUACACAAUGCGCAACUCGAACUAUAACCAGAUCAGCAGAACCCAGGGGUUAAAGUGAGGAGGACGCAGGGGAACUCCCCUAACUCAAAUAGUGGUUAAAAAGCGUUCCCUUUAUCAAUUAUUCAUAAGGUACGCCGGAACGCUCCAAUUAUAAUCAAACAUUUGUCAUUACAAUUCAGAAGUCUGUUGAGAUUAAAUCUUGGUUUUUAUUUAUUUAUUUUUAUCAAUUGUUACUUUACUUUUAUAAAAUCUUAAUUAAUAAAAAUGAUGGACUAUCUAAUGUGUUAAACUAUUUUUUUGUUUAAUGUAUACUUUUUAGU